rnacentral:rRNA from 1 species
CAGCAGCCGCGGGAAUACGUAGGUGGCAAGCGUUGUCCGGAAUUAUUGGGCGUAAAGGGCUCGCAGGCGGUUUCUUAAGUCUGAUGUGAAAGCCCCCGGCUCAACCGGGGAGGGUCAUUGGAAACUGGGAAACUUGAGUGCAGAAGAGGAGAGUGGAAUUCCACGUGUAGCGGUGAAAUGCGUAGAGAUGUGGAGGAACACCAGUGGCGAAGGCGACUCUCUGGUCUGUAACUGACGCUGAGGCGCGAAAGCGUGGGGAGCAAACAGGAUUAGAGACCCCUGUAGUCCCUGUCUCUUAUAC